ACAAAUUAUUGUACAAAAAGCAUUACAAAUCGUACUAUGAUGUUGGGCCUAAUACAUUGGUAAAUAAACACAUGUAAUACAUGUAAUCUAGAACUACUAGAAUCCCCUUUACCUUUCUCUUUCACCUUUGAUUCCACCGCCUUGACCACAGAGCUUCUCUUGGAUUUUGGUAUUGUCCGACUUUUAUUGUGCAACCACUUUGGAAUUGUUAAAUGUUGAGAAUUGAAUUUCGAAAUUGAUGGUUGAGUUAUUAGAAAGUGGAGUUCACGUAAAUGGUAGAAAUUGGGUUCAUGCAUUUCUUCACCAUUGUCACUCUCUUCACAUAUCCUCUGCUCCUCAGAAGUGGCAACUAAAGAGCUAAUGUGGUGUUGAUAGAAAGAGAGAUGAGGCCAAUGUGAUUCAGCAACAGGUAAAUACAACAUUGUUGCUGGCUUUAGAGUUGGCUGAAGUUACUGAAACACCGUUGGUGAGGGCUAUGCGCCCUGCACGAACGAUCCACAUGGAGCCAAUUGAAGCAGGAGCCGCUCACAAGAUGACAUGGUACGACCUGCAGUUCAGGUGAAUAAUCAGAGAUUGGAGCUUCAAGAGAAUUGUCUUCACUUCGCGCUUGGGAAGAGCUGCCAACUAUUUCCCUCCAGAUGACAUGAUGAUCAUAUCAUCCUCAGAGUAGUCAUCAGUGUUUAUCAGACGAAAUUUUGCAGGAAAAAUUGUUGAGCAUAAGAUAUGAAGGUACUCAUAAUUACCUCACUGGACUACAGGAGAUGAUGGGCUAUCCUUCCGGCUCUGCAGUUUGUGCCUAACAGAUUGACUUCCUUCGAUUUAGUUUUGUCUCAGUCGUUUCAGUUUGUCUCAAAUAUUCAUUUCUUCCUUGGGAAAAUAACGGGAAGCUUCAAGAUCAAGGGCAAUCAAUGCACAAUCUGCAACAAACAGAACUGUUAACGCAAACCAAAACAGGACAGUUAGAGAUCACAGUACUGUUGAAAAUAUUGAUGAGAUUGAAACAAUAGCCCUUUCCCAAUUGAAAAAGGAAUUAGGUCUCGAAUGGGAUUGAAUUGAUAUUCCUUGUAAAUAAGAGCAACAUCUUUUUGGUUGUGUUUAGCUGCAAACUCAAAUGGUUCACCUGCUUUGAACAUGUACCAACUGAAAGUCGCAAAACAGUUUGCUUUAUUUUCCUUGCAUAGUGUUGUGAUGGACAAAGUCUUUGGUGGGAUUGAAUUGAUAUUUCUUGCAAAUAAGAGCAAUGAUGUCUUGUGCAACAUCCUUUUGGUUGUGUCUAGCUGCAAAAUCAAAUGGUUCACCAACUGAAAGUCGCAAAACGGGUUGCUUUAUUUUCCUUGCACAGUGCUGUGAUGGACAAAGUCUUUGCACUAGCCAUGCCAAUGGGUUAGAAUGUACCUAUGAUGUUCUUGAAGAUGCUAAACGGUUCCUAUAAUUUGUUGGUAUUAUAUCUUAUAAAUUAUAAUGGCUGACUACAAUAAUUGGCAGAUACAAUG